rnacentral:rRNA from 1 species
GACGAACGCUGGCGGCGUGCCUAAUACAUGCAAGUUGAGCGCUGAAGGUUGGUACUUGUACCAACUGGAUGAGCAGCGAACGGGUGAGUAACGCGUGGGGAAUCUGCCUUUGAGCGGGGGACAACAUUUGGAAACGAAUGCUAAUACCGCAUAAAAACUUUAAACACAAGUUUUAAGUUUGAAAGAUGCAAUUGCAUCACUCAAAGAUGAUCCCGCGUUGUAUUAGCUAGUUGGUGAGGUAAAGGCUCACCAAGGCGAUGAUACAUAGCCGACCUGAGAGGGUGAUCGGCCACAUUGGGACUGAGACACGGCCCAAACUCCUACGGGAGGCAGCAGUAGGGAAUCUUCGGCAAUGGACGAAAGUCUGACCGAGCAACGCCGCGUGAGUGAAGAAGGGUGUCGGAUCGUAAAACUCUGUUGGUAGAGAAGAACGUUGGUGAGAGUGGAAAGCUCAUAAAGUGACGGUAACUACCCAGAAAGGGACGGCUAACUACGUG